UGAGUUAAUUCAAACAGUCGCUUUUAUUUUCAAUAAAAGAGGAAAGUCCGGACUCCAAAGGGUAAUGGUACCAGAUAACUUCUGGGAAGUGUAAACUUACGAAUAGUGCAACAGAAAAUAUACCGCCAUAAUAAUAUGUAGUGGUUAUAAUAAUUAUGGUAAGGGUGAAAAGGCAUGGUAAGAGCAUACCGAUAUAUUAGUAAUAAUAUAUGUCUGUGCAAACUCUACCAGGAGCAAGGCUAAAUAAAGAUUUGUAUUGACCCGUACAAAAAAUCUGGGUAAGCUGCAAGAAAUAGUAAGUAAUUAUUAUUCUAGAUAAAUGACUGUUAGAAAACAGAAUCCGGCUUAUGAAUUAACUUAUAAA
rnacentral:RNase_P_RNA from 1 species